GCGCCCGUAGCUCAGCUGGAUAGAGUACCUGGCUACGAACCAAGGGGUCGGGAGUUCGAAUCUCUCCGGGCGCGCCA
rnacentral:tRNA from 1 species